UGAAACAAAACCAACAGCAGGAACCUGGACAGGUGAGUCUUGUCAAUUUCAAGUGCCCAUAAGGCUGAGGGUAAAGAAAUCUCUGGAUAGCACAAUUAUGGGUAUGUUUUGUUACAAUUUGAUUUAUGAUGGAAAUUCCUCUCAUGGGGAAAAAAUAAACUAUUUCUUUUCCCUAAAUUAGGGGUGCUAUCAGAAGUUUCAACAAGGAGUGUGAACAACAUGAACACGACUGUGUAAUACCAUGAUUCCCUGUAGCUGUCUCUAACACUCUCUGCAUUAUAAUUCUCAAUUCAUUUCUGCAGUUUUCGUUUGAGACACUGAUUGACCUUUGUGCAGGGAAUAUGUUUUAUUCUUACUUUUUUUUUGAGGAAGAUUAGCCCUGAGCUAACUGCUGCCAAUCCUCCUCUUUUUUGCUGAGGAAGCCUGGCCCUGAACUAACAUCCAUGCCCAUCUUCCUCUACUUCAUUUGUGGGAUGCCUGCCACAGCAUGGCUUGACAAGCAGUGCCACGUCUGCAGCCGGGAUCUGAGCCAGCGAACCCCGGGCCGCGGAAGCGGAACGUGCAAACUUAACCGUUGCGCCACCAGGCCGGCCUCGUUUUAUUCUUACGUGAUGUCUUCCGAAUCCAGCAUAAUUUCUGGCAAACGGUAGCAUUAACUACAUAGAUCGAAUAAUGUAUGGAUAAAUAACAUGCAUAUUUGGGAAAGAUUAAUCUGGUAUGUUGAAAUAAUUAAAAAUGAAAAACUACACAUGAACUUUUGAUAUAGGAGACUGAGAUAAAUAUCCGGAUAUACACUGAAGAUGACCAAGGAGAAGGUAGUCUAAGGAGUCACAGGAGAAAAGACAGGGACCCAAGCUCUUACACGUUUUUAAGCAUUGGCCUCAUCAAUCAUUUUGACAGCCAUUGGGCUGGAUCAGAGACCCAUAAAAAGUCACAUUAUGGAUGAAAAAACAACUCAGUAGAAAACUGUUGAAAAUGAAAAGUUUCCAUCAUUCUUACAUAGUCUACCUACUUGAAUUUUCAUGCUUCAACAGAAAAGAGAGAAGGAAAUCAGAAAGAGAACUUUUGAAGAUCUCUGAGAUGAGGCCCAGAUAUGACAACUGUGGUUUCAGCAGUUACAUUAAAGUGUUAGAAACACACAAGUCUCCACAGAGAUUUAAGAAAGACUUUUGUUGCGCUGACUUCAUCCUUUUCCUUUGACAGCCAUCUCUGAAAUUCAGGCCUAGAAAGUGUCUAAAAUACAACACAUUAUUAUUUAUAUUCAUUGUAGAUAUAAUAGAAAUGUGCUUUAAAUUAAUUAAAAUGUGUAAUAUAAUAGCAACUAAUAUACUUCCCUAUAGAUUUUGGAAGUAAUUUAAAAAUGUAAAACCCAACUGGCCCCAAUUGAAAGCACAUGGUUAAGCUGCUGACAUCAAAAGCAGAAAAUGUCAGACAUGGUGGAGAUGAAGAGAAAAUGAUGAGGCUUCCAGGGAUUAGCCAGAUCGGUGAGUUACCUGCAGAGAAAUAGGGGCAGCAAGUGGUACACAGCAACAAGACUUAACAGCGACAGCAAUGACCAGAAAACGUCAAAUUCAUAUUGCUCUAUUUUAGACGUCCUGAUUAUACCCAAAUUAUCCAUCUGGUUUUGGUUAAUACUGAAAUACCAGCACAAGAUCUUUAGAAAAUUAAACAGUAGUUCCCUUUCCUAUUCAAUGUAAGAAAACAUUCAUAAAAUUUGCACUAGAAAAGUAUAUUCUAAUAAUUAGGAUAAAUAUUCAUUUAAAAUAAAUGCAAAAUCUUUAAUGAACA
rnacentral:lncRNA from 1 species